ACAGAGGCAUGGCGACAGUCUAGUCAUCUGCACGAGGAGCUCUCAGAGUCAAAUCGCACAGUGAUGCAUCUACAGAAUGUACUAAGGAAUCAUACAGAAGAGAUCAAAUUACUGCGACAUCAACUUAACUACUCUCAGGUGGACAUGCAACAGCUACAGAGCAACUACCAGAUUCUUUUGAGGGAACAACAAGGCAUUCAAGCUAAACUUGACAGUACGC